ensembl:lncRNA
AAAAAAUCCACAGAGAAACAAAGUCAAUUAAAUUUUAUUACAACCAAGAAUAUAAAAUAAAUGCAAUGUAAUUUAUUUUAGUUUUAACAGUCAUUUCAAGAAGGAUGGCAGGACAACUCAAAAGCAGGGAAACACUCGGGCUCCCAAGUGGCUGCUCUCCUGCCCCCCACGGAGCAUGCCUCGCUGGGGGGCAGCCGGCUCUGAGCGCACACUUCGUAGCAGAGUGUGGGAAGCGUACACAGUCAUUUCAAGAAGGAUGGCAGGACAACUCAAAAGCAGGGAAACACUCGGGCUCCCAAGUGGCUGCUCUCCUGCCCCCCACGGAGCAUGCCUCGCUGGGGGGCAGCCGGCUCUGAGCGCACACUUCGUAGCAGAGUGUGGGAAGCGUACACAGUCAUCUCUAUAAUCAUAGAAAGAGGGGUGCGUGCAGAAGAUGGCUGAGAGCAGAGACAAAGACAGGUACACUUCACAAAUAGGAAUUAUGGGAAUUACAAACUAGGCAGUUUAGAAAGGAUAUACUACAUAACAUAUAUAAAAAGUACUUUAAAUUGUUGUUAAAAAGGACAUCUUCAGUCCAGAUUUUGUGUAAUACUUUUAGUGUCUACACAGACAAAUCUUUAAAAAAAUUAAAUAGUAUUAAUUUACUAAAUAUUUAGGAGAUAACAGUGCAUUAAGGAUUUUUUCAUAUAAUACACACAUAUCACUCCUUUGCAGUGAUAGCACAGAAGAGUAAGUAUGGCCUUAGGUACAACACAGUUUUUUUAAAAUCCUAAAACAAUGAACUUUGCUUUAUGAGAUCUGUGACUACUCUUGAAGAUGAUGGGGGCCUAAACUGCUGUUUGAAAUAAAAGAUUACUUAUACUUGAAAUCCUUCGAGCCUCCUUUAGGCUAACUGCUAUGUUACUGCCUUUCUCCAUUCCCUAGAAAGAUAUCACCAGAGAGUUUAGGAUUUGCAAUUUUCAUAGAAUUCUUCCUUCAUUGUAUGGUUUCUGCCACAUCAUUUUGUUCAAAGCAGAUUAAGCUGCAAAUCUUAUUGUCCAACGAUUUUUCCUUUUCCCUUGAGCAGAGAAAACAGCAUCGUUUCAGAGGCAUACACCCAGCAGUUGCUUCACCAGGAGUGAGGCAGUGAACACGUAGGUAAAUGUCGUCCCUUUCCAUUCUUCAAUGUAAAUUAGGUUUAUAAGAGCAAAAGAGUAGUGCAGAAGGCCAAAGUUCUAAGUACCAAAGUUUUAAAACCACACAGAUAUAAAAAUAUACAUGCCCUUGGUUCUCGUACGUUACUGCACGAUUUACUUUCAUCACAAGGAUUGCUCAGCCUCAUAGUAACAGCCCUGCCACCAGGCUACCUUACCCUUGAGCUCAGCUCUCCUGAAACUCUAGAAUCCCUUUUCCCAAACACACCUCACCAGAAAGCGAAUUUCAAAAACUGAUUUGUAAUAUGGAGGGCAGAGGAACUUCACUUUUAUUCCUUCCUUCCUUUCAAAUAACCUCCCUUGUUUUGGGUGUUUUCAUGGGCUGAGCCCCCCCCCCCCCCCCCCGCAACCUGCAUUCUCAGGGAGCAAGACAGUUAAUACGUUUUCAGAGAGGAAUGAGGUCAUUUGGGGACCACAAAGGUAAAUUCUAACCUCAAAAAGCUUCACAGAUCUCCCUCAGGGUCCCACAGUUUAGGGUCCAUAAGAAUGUUAAAGGCUUUGUUCCCCUUCACAGAGAAAAGGAAAUCAUGAGCCAAAAUUAUUUCAAGGGUGCUGGGCCCAAAUGGGCAUCCCCAGCUUCGAUGCAAGAAUGAGAAGAGGGCCGGCCGGUACCAGCACAGUGACCAGAAUAACGGGACAUCUGGCUGUAUCCUAGAGAACACCCUGGACUAGGAAAAAUGGAUGAAAUCUCCUCACAGUUUCGGUAUCAGUUCUGCCAAUAAAAUUAGCUAUCUGCAAGGAAAGCAGGGUAGUUCUGUGAUUAUGUAAGCACACAUCACAAGAAUAGUACACCGAAGUUGCUCACAGAGUAUUCAGGGGCAUGGUAUUUUGGUCUAUGCACGUAGGUGGGCUCUCUCCUCUUAUUAAAUGUAAGUGCACCCAAAGGGCAGUGACAGAGCCUCCGUUUUCAUUGUAAUUUCCCACAACCACUUAAUUCUGCUUAUAAGGGCCACCCAACUGUUGUCGAGAAGCUGCUGUGAACAUUUCAAAUCUGCAUUAAUGCCUGUUCUGAUAUUUAAUUGCUGGCUUUCUCUAAGGUUGAUAGAAACCUCUCGAUAACACACAGAAUUCGGAAUAAUAACUCUAUCCAAGUGAGUCUGGAAGUAAACAAAAGGACCUUCAUACUCUUAUAAGCCACUCCUCUCAUCCCAGGAGAACUCACUGUCAUGGAAUGGAUCCUAAGCUCCUUAAGGGCAGGAAGUAUGUCUUGCCCUUUGAGUCUUCCAGCCAGCAUGGCACUGGGCAUGUGGUGAGGGUACAGUCAGCAUCUGAUGACCAAUAACUCUGGACAGUGAGGCUUCAGGGCACAGGAUAGAACUUUACACAGGUAGCUACGUUAUGCAAAGGGCAUUCAU